GUGCUCGCUUUGGUAAUACAUACACUAAAAUGGAAACGAUACAGAGAAGAUUAGCAUGGCUCAGUGCAAGGAUGACACACAAAUUUAUGAAGUGUUCCAUUAAUAA
rnacentral:snRNA from 1 species